rnacentral:rRNA from 1 species
UACGUAGGGGGCUAGCGUUGUCCGGAAUCAUUGGGCGUAAAGCGCGCGUAGGCGGCCAGAUAAGUCCGGUGUGAAAGUCACAGGCUCAACCUGUGAAUGCCGCUGGAAACUGUCUGGCUCGAGUCCGGGAGGGGCGAGUGGGAUUCCUGGUGUAGCGGUGAAAUGCGCAGAUAUCAGGAGGAACACCAAUGGCGAAGGCAGCUCGCUGGAACGGUACUGACGCUGAGGCGCGAAAGCGUGGGGAGCGAACAGG